rnacentral:rRNA from 1 species
UACGUAGGGUCCGAGCGUUGUCCGGAAUUACUGGGCGUAAAGCGUGCGCAGGCGGUGAUGUAAGACAGCUGUGAAAUCCCCGGGCUCAACCUGGGAACUGCAUCUGUGACUGCAUCGCUGGAGUGCGGCAGAGGGGGAUGGAAUUCCGCGUGUAGCAGUGAAAUGCGUAGAUAUGCGGAGGAACACCGAUGGCGAAGGCAAUCCCCUGGGCCUGCACUGACGCUCAUGCACGAAAGCGUGGGGAGCAAACAGG